UAUAACCAAAUAUGAUACUCAGGCUAAGGGUCAAGUUGGUAAUUUUUCUCACAUCUCCCCCUCCCGGAGCCCAGGUAUCAUAUACGCCCCCAAAAUAAAGAGCCUUGAAUACUAGAAUAAAAGCACCUAUACCUUUGGUUCUUAAAAAGAAAUAGUUCGAGAAAGUUCAAUUGGCCGAAAUUAAUUUCUAGAUUCGCA
rnacentral:antisense_RNA from 1 species